UACGUAGGGGGCAAGCGUUAUCCGGAUUUACUGGGUGUAAAGGGGGUGCAGACGGCGAUGCAAGCCAGGAGUGAAAGCCCGGGGCCCAACCCCGCGGAUUGCUUUUGGAACUAUCAGGCUGGAGUGCUGGAGGGGUAAGCGGAAUUCCUAGUGUAGCGGUGAAAUGCGUAGAUAUUAGGAGGAACACCGGUGGCGAAGGCGGCUUACUGGACAGAAACUGACACUGAGGCUCGAAAGCGUGGGGAGCAAACAGG
rnacentral:rRNA from 1 species